UACAUUAGAUACCCGGGUAGUCCUAGCCGUAAACGAUACUCGCUAGGUGUCGGCCACGGUGCGACCGUUGUCGGUGCCGUAGGGAAGCCGUGAAGUGAGCCACCUGGGAAGUACGGCCGCAAGGCUGAACUUAAGGAAUUGGCGGGGGAGCACCACAACGGGUGGAGCUUGCGGUUUAAUUGGAUUCAACGCCGGAAAUCUUACCGGGACCGACAGCAACAUGAAGGCCAGGCUGAAGACUUUGCCGGAUUAGCUG
rnacentral:rRNA from 1 species